rnacentral:rRNA from 1 species
UACGUAGGGACCGAGCGUUGUCCGGAAUCAUUGGGCGUAAAGAGCGUGUAGGCGGCCAGGUAGGUCCGUUGUGAAAACUGGAGGCUUAACCUCCAGCUGUCGAUGGAAACCAUCUGGCUAGAGUCCGGAAGAGGAGAGUGGAAUUCCUGGUGUAGCGGUGAAAUGCGCAGAUAUCAGGAAGAACACCCGUGGCGAAGGCGGCUCUCUGGGACGGUACUGACGCUGAGACGCGAAAGCGUGGGGAGCGAACAGG